UACAGAGGUCUCAAGCGUUGUUCGGAUUCAUUGGGCGUAAAGGGUGCGUAGGUGGCGCGCUAAGUCAGGUGUGAAAUCUCGGAGCUUAACUCCGAAACUGCAUUCGAUACUGCCGUGCUUGAGGACUGGAGAGGAGACUGGAAUUUACGGUGUAGCGGUGAAAUGCGUAGAUAUCGUAAGGAAGACCAGUGGCGAAGGCGGGUCUCUGGACAGUUCCUGACGCUGAGGCACGAAGGCCAGGGGAGCAAACGGG
rnacentral:rRNA from 1 species